CAGCUCACAAAAAAAACAAAAAUAAAUUUAAUUUUUCGGAAAAUAAAAAUGUACAAAUUUUACAUUUCGGCUAGAGUUAAGAAAAAAGUGAAAAAAAGUUUUAGUAAUACUAAGAAAAAAGUGAAAAAAGUUUUAGUAAUACUAAGAAAAAAGUGAAAAAAAGUUUUAGUAACGUUAAGAAAAAAGUGAAAAACAAAAACACAAUUCUUGGCUUUUUUAAUAAAUACAAAUUGUCGCUCUUUCCAUUUAUUUGUGGCUCAGUCGCUAGUAUCUCUGGGUCUGUAAUAACUGCCCAACCCCCGCUCUUAUCAGUCUGUCACGAAACAACACGAGUGAGUAUUCACAUGACUAAUUUAAAUAUUUUGAGCACAAACUUAAGAAUCAAUGCCAACAGAUAUUACUGAGCCCGUCUUGCUCCGUCACACUAAUAACAGCAACACCAUCUAAAAGUGAGUAUGCGAUUAUUUAAUAAUAGUUGAAUAAUUUACAACUUUUUUGUCUGUGGCAUGUGUCUGUUUGUGGAUCAAGAGCAUACUCGUUCCCCCUAUGGUAGCAUUUCCAACAUGCAACUUCUUUGUGUACGACUUCCACCAACACGAGUGAGUUUUGGCAUAAAUAUUUUGUUUUUCAUUAGAGACGAAAACCUUAAUACCAACAGAUCUGUCAGUUCCCACACCUGCCACUAGAUACAAUAAGUAUUAUGCUCUGGUACUCCUACUCAACACUUCCAACACCAACAAAUAGUGAGUAUUCCUGAAAUGGUACUAGUGGUGAGCGAUUAUCUUAAAUAUAUAAAUUCUCUUGUUUUACGUGCAGGUGAGGUGGCUCAUCCCUCUACAUCUCUCACACCAUCCUCUUUUGUGUCAUACUCAUGUUCGAUACUCUUUCGGGUGUGUGUUAUUUAAACGAAAACAUCCACACUUUUGUACUACAUAAAAAAACAUACAAAAAUAUAAACAUAAUUACAC
rnacentral:lncRNA from 1 species